GCCAGCCUGGCGUAGUGGUUUGGAUGCUAGACUAUCACUUUGGAGGCCAGGGUUCAAAUCCCCGCACAGCCA